GAUGAACGCUGGCGGCGUGCCUAACACAUGCAAGUCGAGCGGAGCGAGGGUGCUUGCACCUUAGCUUAGCGGCGGACGGGUGAGUAAAGCUUAGGAAUCUGCCUAUUAGUGGGGGACAACAUUCCGAAAGGGAUGCUAAUACCGCAUACGCCCUACAGGGGAAAGCAGGGGAUCUUCGGACCUUGCGCUAAUAGAUGAGCCUAAGUCGGAUUAGCUAGUUGGUGGGGUAAAGGCCUACCAAGGCGACGAUCUGUAGCGGGUCUGAGAGGAUGAUCCGCCACACUGGGACUGAGACACGGCCCGGACUCCUACGGGAGGCAGCAGUGGGGAAUAUUGGACAAUGGGGGGAACCCUGAUCCAGCCAUGCCGCGUGUGUGAAGAAGGCCUUUUGGUUGUAAAGCACUUUAAGCGAGGAGGAGGCGCUCUAGGCUAAUACCCUAGAUGCGUGGACGUUACUCGCAGAAUAAGCACCGGCUAACUCUGUGCCAGCCGCCGCGGUAAAAC
rnacentral:rRNA from 1 species